CUUUGAGAACCCUAAAAGCUUUAUGUUACAGACAUUUUGUAUAUUCAUAUGAAUUAUUCCCCAUUUGUAUCCAUGUAUUUUCUAAUAGAAAUAUGGAGAAAUGUAGCAAAUAUAUGAUUUAAGAUGGCCGAUUCCAACCAGAAGUGAUGUAAUGGCAUCUCCCGAUAUGCCAUUUCCAGCAUGAACACACUUGACAAUUGCCAGGACUUUGCCCUCUCUUGCGAAUGAUGGGUGAUUUGAUUGGAGGACACACUUGCACACAAUGGAGGGGACUUUUGAAAACAGAAGCAGUGACUUAGGAAGUCUUUGGAGAAACGCGUCUUGGAUGAAGAGGAUUCCUGUAGGUUUUAUUUUAAAUUAUUAUUUGUAGGUUCUGUGUUUUACCAGGGGGUUUGUGGUCACCCUUAAUUGACAUCUAGGCUGCAUCACCCAGAGUCAGGUGUAUUCAGGCGCAGUAUGUGUUAUUUUAACUUUAUCUACAUUCUGCAUAAUUGUUUUUUGCACCUAUUCCUUUUU